AAUGGCGGCGGUGGGGUUGCCCUGCUCCUGUCACUAUGCCAGCUCCCCCAGCAGAACCCCUCCCAAAACACUUUUUAGACUAUAUAUUUUUUAGCGAGUUUGCCAUCCUCUUGAAGGCUUGGGCUGUAUUGAAGCGUCCCACCUUUGCUCCCUGCCUCCAGGCCUGGGAGGCCUUUCUGGGAGGCCCUGGUGUCUGUGGGCUGUUAGCAGCCAUCUUGUUUUCAUUCCGUGUGGCACAGAUGAAUUAAGUUUUUAAUGUUCCGUACCUUUUUUUUCUUUGUAAUAGGAAAGGAUGUACAGUGAUUUCUCUGUGAACUGCUGCUGAGGCAGGCUGCUUCGUAUGCCUUUAUUAUUAUUGUUGUUAUUCUAAAGACAAAUGCUUUCAGGAGCUCCAUUUUCAUUUCCCGGCACCUUUCAUUUCUUUUGGCUGGCCAUCAGCAGCUGAGGAGGUGUCAUAAAACCAUGGAAGGAAGCAAAUGUACAGCAGCCUGUUUCACCUGAGCAGAUGUAGAAUUGCACUCAUUAAGGAAGUACAUUUAGGCGUAAAACACAGCUCUUAAAAACAGCAUAAGAGCUUUCACCAGGGAUAAAGAUUGCUUUGACCUUCAGAGGCUGACGUGAAGUGCAGUGUUUAUUAAUAGUUCUAGCAAGAAAGUGUCUAUACGGGGGAUGUCUUGCCUUCUAUUUCACUGAUUUGAAGAACGUUCUCACCAUUUCCUGACUUUCCUACUGAAUAGAGCUGAUGAAAAACUCCCCUACUUUUAGGUUAAUAACUGCUGGCUGAUAUUUGUGUCCAUCAAAAGAUUUCUCUGCUGCUCUGAUGAUGAAAGUGCUGCAAGACCCUGGGCUUAAUCCCAUUCAUGGUGUUUUCCAGAACGGGGAGGCGGCUCCAAGGUCUUUGUGGCAGUUCCAUGUGUGAGAAACGUUCCCUGAAGCAGAAAGGGAUUUUCUUGCACCGGGCUUUGCUCAACUUGUCAAAGAAAACAGAAUCCCACAGGAAAACUGAGUGCUUUGGGGGCAUUUCUAGUGCAGCACAGUGCUGUAAGCUUAAGGCUGAAUGGUUCCCCGGGUGGAUUUUGACCCCAGGUCCUGCUCUCUCCCCCAGAUAUGUGGUUAUGCUCUGGGAGGUUUCCUAAUGCUUCCAUGCAUGUAGCUCUGAGCAGCUGUGGUGGCUGUGAGCUUGCCCUGCUGCGUUGUGGCCGGUUUAAUGGUUGUUUGUCAGACCCACGAAAUAACCAAACAAAACCACAGACAGAAGGUGGAGAAAGCUCCGCUGAAAUUCUGCUCUGAAGAUCAUUUCGUGGUGCUGGGCAUGGGAAGGUACUUCUGAAGCAUCUCUUUGUUUCAGGCAACGCUUCCUGCCCUUUUCUACAAUCUACAUCUGCUUGUGUGUUUUUGCUCACAGUUUAUCACAGGUGUAAUCGCUGAUGCUGAGGGUUAAGCCAGUGCUCCACUGAGAACUGUGGCUGAAAGCCAUCACCAGCAAGACACACCUGUUGUGUCGCUGCGGCUUUCAAAUCUAAGCCUUUCUCUUCUUGUUGAAUAACCAGGCCACGAGGAAUAAAGCUGGCAGAGGAAGGCCAGCCUCAGGUCUUACUCUAAAACUUGAUGGAGCCAGGGCUGGGAAGGGCUGUGGUGUGGCAGCAGGACUUAGCCUUCCAACCCAGCCUGCCAGCAGAGGGAGCACAGCACAUGGCCUCACCAAAAUAGGAGCUCACUGAAGCAACCCAAACAAACUCAAACAAUUAGCAGGAUGAUUAUGGUCUUUAGCAGAAUAAACAGAACAGUCAGAAGGCAGAAGCCUUUGCCUGGCAAUGAGAUCCAGCUGCAGGCUGGAUGGGGAACAGACACUACGGCUGGCAGUGAUCAUGUUCCCUACAGUCACAUAGGCCAGUGCUGCUGGCCAGACCUUGUCCCCUUUUUCACCCUGGUUGGUAGAUCCACCUCUAUUUCCUCAUCAGAGUGCAACAGUUUAGGUUGGAGCUUCCUCUCCCACGGCACAGCACGAGAAGGGCGUGCGAGCAAUGGGCAGAGUUAUGCUCCCAGGGCUGCUGUGGUGUUAGGCUUGCACAUGGCUCUGGCCAUGUUUGGUUUUGGGGCAGAAAUAGGGGAAUUUGGGGCUUGUCUGCAAGCAGGGCAGUUCCUGCAGCCAGCAGACUGAGCUCAGCAUGGGAAGGUGGAAGUUGAUUUAGCUGUCUUGAAGAGAAUGAGAAAUAAAGCUUAACGGGAACUGAAGGGCUUCCCAGGACCUUUAUUGUCAGUGGGUUCUGCUCUCAGUGGGCUUUUCCAACAGCUUGGGCUGCUGCAGUUCUGUGCGUGGAAAGCACAGGGGAAGUACAGCUGCACUGCUCAGUGGGCAGCACGGCAGCAAGCAUUUAGCUCUGUGUUUUGUGGAGGCACUUCAGCACAGCUGUGAUGUAGCCAGGAUCUGAAUCUGGCACCAUUCCUUUCUGUAACAGGUUGGUCAUUAGGAGGAGCUCAGUGUUUGCAGGGUAUUUCCAUGAGAGCUGGGCAGCCCUUGAAACUACAGUGUGCUGCUUCCAUUGUGGAUUAAAAAUGUAGUAUCCAGCCGAGCCUUGGUAGUUUAGUUUUUAACAGGGAUUUAAGCAUUUUAAAUCCUUUCAAAGCUGUAAGUAAGAAUCAUAAUUUAAACUCUUGCAGACAGAUGUCAUGGUAAAAAUAUGAGGACUAUUUAAAAGGCUGCCUGCCUGCCUGUCCGUCUAUCUAUCACCUCCUAAUCUGCCUGACGCGUGCAAUUGCCUUUCUCUUUCAAAACACUGCAAAGCCAGGUCUGCUGAGGCGCGUGCAGCGUGACCUUAGCUCACCCAGGGCAACCCCACUGCAAGGGUGCAGCCACUCAGCGCAUCCUGCACAUUGCAUGGGGAAAGCUCUUUGGCCAAGGCACGGUUCCCUCUGCAACGAGUGGCAGAAAGGAUGGUGUUUAACUUGCCACCAGUUUGAGUUUUUCCCCUACUUCUGACAUUUGCAGAAACUCAAGCAUCUUUUGGAAGCAAGCAACCUAGAAUGAUGACAUUUUGGGUUCUUUUUUUAGGUGAACCAAUGGUAUCUUGCCUUCGCUGCCCCAUUGUAGAGAAUUAAAUGAUGCUCAGCCAAAUCAGCCUCUUACUUGGUCAAACAUUUCCAGCUGUCCUUCGCUGUCCGGCAGCGGUUGCCUUGUAUGGGAGCCACAGCUUCCAUAGAAACUCGCUGCCUCCUUGCAGAUGUUUGGGGCAGCAGAAGGGAUGGGGCUGGCACACAUGCAGCUAAUUUGGGCAUUGCAGGGAGGUCAAAGGCAAAGAAUGAUGUGGGAAUGGCACAUCUGACUUCCAAAGCUGGAUUUAAAUGAGUGAAAAAGAAAAAAUGUGGUUGGGUUACUUGUCUGAAGAACUUUAGGAAAAUGAUUUUAAAGGCAUUUUUGUAGAUAAACGAGCAGGGCUUCAUUCUGUCCUAAGAAAGGAGUCCUGGAGCUGAGUGCUGAAAUGCCUUUCAUGUCAGCAGUGGUUUCAAAGAGAACCUGAGUUCCUUUGGUGUGUGUAAUGAGGGAGUGGGGAGUCUGGCUGAGAAAAUUUGUUACAGAAAUUCCCGAGGCUCCAUCUGCAUGAGCUGCCGUGGCCAGAGGAGCAUUUCCAGUAACGAGUCUGGUGGCUGUCUGCAACGAGAGAUGGAAAGGCCCUUUGGCUUCAGCUUAUCAAAACGAAGCAGAAGGGGUCAUGUAAAUGUGGUGCAGGAGUCAGAGGAAUCAUAGAAUCGUUAAGGUUGGAAAAGACCACUAAGAUCAUCAAGUCCAACCACCAACCCAUCCGCACCAUGCCCACUCUGCCAAGGGAAGUGGGGCUUUCUUCACCUCUCAGUAACUCAGGGUUGGGGCUGAUGGCCUUUUGGGGGACUCUUUUAUCCAUCACAUGUUCUGGGCUUAUCACAGCCAUAGUUCUGUAGGGGGAACCUGCUGAGAAAAUAUUGUAUUUUCUUUUGGCCUUAAGGUAUCGAAAGGGUUGGAAAGGGCAGGAUACACUGCAUACAUGCCUUGUGUUAGUGAGAGCAUCAGAGGAGGGAGAACAGUGAUUGCUGGCCAGCCUUUGCUGCUGCCUCGCUGCUGGGCUCCCAGCACUGUCAUUUUGGCUGUCUGGUUCUGGGGCGUUGGGAGGGUUAACCAGAGCUUGGUCGGGUGCUUUGGUAGAGAGGGAGGGCACCAUUUGUUACUGCAGAGAUUGGAAACUCCCUGAUGUGAUUAUAACGUGUAGUGAUGGAGGCUAUUUUUAUUGUAUGUUGUGAAUAUUUCCUUGUAUGGCAUCACAAGUAGCUUGCUUGUGACUUGGAGCUCUGUUGAAAGCUCUAGCAACGAAGUUCCCAAUGUCUCUGGCAUUCCCAAGCCAAUGCUGUAAGCGGCAGCGUUAAUUAGCUUUAGGGAGCAAUGCAUAAUAACGAGGAGAUAAUGAGAAAGACCUCCGGCCUCUGCACUUUGCAAGGGGGAGAGAGCAGAGUGUCAGAGCUUGCUCUGCCUCGUAGGACCUCUGCCCAGAGGAGAAAUCCCCACUGAAGUGGGAGGAAACUCUUAUUUCUUGUUAGCAAUCCAGACUGCCGCUCGGCAAAUCCCUUUGCCACUGGAGCUGCAGAUACGUAGCUGUUAACGAGUUGAAAUGGCAUUAAAGAGGAAGUCAACCUUUUGCACAGUUUCCUCUUGGAAAGUGAGUGUUACUUCUAAUUAUAGCGAUUGCAGUUUUUCAGAUGCUCUCCCAGGGACCCGAAUGCUGGGAGUGGGGAGCAGCGGCUGGAAACACAGGCAUGAUUCUGAUUCUGCUCUCCAUUGAUUCACGUUAUUUACCUAAAACAGGUGUGGAGAGAAACUGUUUCCUACGAUACCAGCAUACUUGUUCUCCCUGUGCUGGCCCUGGCAUUGAGCGUGACCAUGUCCCUGGUACACAUCAGUCCAGCUUGCAGAAACUCACCUAAGUUGGGGUUGCUUUUCAGAGAAGCUCCAAUAGUCUGUUUUUCUCAUUUUCCUCCAGCUUUUCCGUGCUCCCACUUUCUUUUGAGGUGAUGGGUUAGAAGUGCCAUACCAGUGCUUUUGUCCCCAGGCCAGACCCUGCUGCAGAAGAGCCGUUGCCCAUGGAUGAGUGGUGCCUGCCACCUUCUGGUCGAUUUUCCAGCACCACCCACAGCUUGGGCGACGGUGCAGGGGCAAAACGCUGGGGGUGCAAUGCCCGGUGUGCCAUGAGCACUGUCCUGCUUACUCCAGGCUGCUGGAAGGAAGGAGAGGUGGCUCCUCCUGAUCCUGGAGAUCAGGGAGGGGGCCAUGAAGGGGGUCUCAGUCCCUCAGUUGGUUCUGUUCCUUAUAGGGUUUCUGCUCUUAGAUGCUUGGUGGUGGAGCAGCUGUCCCACUUCACAGUGGCCUAUUCUCGCUCUGCUCUGAGAUCCUGCUUGUCCCCUUCCCUGACAUCAGGGCUGGAGAUGCUCAGAACUUCACUGUGCUGAGCACUUCAGUUUGUGCUGAGUACUUUAUUGUGCUGAGCACUUCACUGCUCUGAGUGUCCUCAGGGUGGACUGUGGGCCUUAGGUUCCCCCCACUUUACAGAGGGAGGGCUGAAGCUCAGCUCUGUCCCAUCUGAAGUGUGUGAGUUAGAAAUCUCAUGGUUUGGGGACUUGGUUUUCCUGUGUGACCAAGAGAUGGACAUCUCCUGGUGAUGGUCCAGACCAAUAGCUGUGGUCCAGCUCUGAGCCCUGCUCUGCACGUGCCCUGUUUUUGGCCACCAUUAUCCCUUUUGGUGCAGAAGGGCUGGGUUGCUGUUGGAGGCUCAUUUGCUGCAGGAGUUCAGAGCUGUGGCUCUGGGCAAUCUCAAUGCAGCUACACUCAAAUACCAUCUCUAUGGUGAUGACUCAGAGGCAUGCAUCCCUACGCUGGGCUCUCCUCUCCCUGUCCAAAUUCAUAUCUCGGAGGAGCUCUGACAUCUUGUGAAUGUCUCACCACCAGCUCCAGCACAACACAGAAACAGCUUUUAACCUCUCAGUCUCAGCUCAGUGCUGAGCUCAGCAACACCAGGACACUGCUCCUUUGCCAGCAUUUGAGUGUUUUCUUCAUCUCCCGCCUCCUCCUGUGUCUUCAUGUCCUGGCUACCUAACAGCUUGCCUAACCCCACAAAGACACAGCUUUUCCUGAAGCUGGAACUCCCACUUGCUCUUUCAUCACAUCCCCCUCCUCUUGAAGCAAUAUCCUUUUCUUGGCCUCACCAAAUUUGCUGUUGGCCAGCUUGCAUCCGCCCAAAUGCUGCCUGCCUUAGGGACUGCUUUCCCACAUCUACUGCUUCUCCUAUCUGACCCCCUGUAUCCCCCUGCCCACAGCUGCUGCUGCCUCCUGCAUCCCAUGAGUGCCUUUGGUUCUGCAAGGCUACGGCCCUGCUCAGCCCCAGGGCUUUUGUCCUGCCCAAAUGCUUCUUGCUCUUUCUUGCUCAUUUUAUCUCGUAAUUGUACACAUUUGGUAUACUGAUGCACUCAUCAGAGGUGCCUCCAUGCCCAAUCAUUCUGGGAUUCUAGAAUUCUAUGAACAGGCUGCUGACAUGAGAACCAAGGUCCUGGGAACGUGCAUAAAUGGGAAAACAUCUUGCUUGAAAGCAGAGAGGAGGCUAGUGGCUCCAGGCUUGUCCUGGGCUUGGCUUCAAGGCUGCCCAGUGGCACCUGGCACAGGCAGGGGGAUGCAGAGCUGUCAUGGGUCGCUGGCUGCAUCAGCAUCACCUGGGGCAAGUGAGCAAAUGGUUUGGAUUUCAAGUGCAAAUAAGCAGCCCUGGCCCCAAAUGCAGGGAACCCGGCUUUUUCUCACUGUUGUGAAAGAGCAGCUACCCCAGAAGGCUAAAUAGGCUGCAGCAUGGGGGCUGGCAGUGGGAAACUGCUUCUGCAAAGCAAGCAGGGGGUAAAGCUGUGAGCUGAACGAGGCUGGGAAGGAAGCUCCUGCCCUGAGGUCUGUGCUGUCAGCGCGGGAAGGCUUUGCCUUGCUGCACUGCUGGGAACUAAUAAAGAGCUGGAGGGCCAGAGCUGGCUGCAGUCACGGGUUUGGUGCUGAGGAAAGUGUUUGCAGCGGGGUAAUGUGUGCUGUGUGUGCUGCAGGGUGGCUCGGGGCUGAGGCUGCAAAUGAGACAGAACCAGGGCAGAUCUGCUGGGGUGUCCCAGAAAGGUGUUGGCAGAGCCCGGAUCUGCUGUGGUCCUGAUGGCUGAGUGCAUUCAUUUAGGCAACAGCAGACAGCUGUGAUGGGCAUGCUGAGAUCUGCGGGGCCGCUGUUCAAAAGCAGAGGCAGCUCUCUUCCUGUUCUGUUACUGAUGCAAGGCUGUAGCCUCAGCUCUGCUCACACAGAAGGAUGGAAGCUGCUCCUUUUUCUCCCCCAGAAGGAGCGAGGCAGGUGUGUGUCAGCAGCGUUAUGUAGGGAUGUGCAGAGCUUCUUGCCAAAUCAGCUCCUGCUGCUGCCCUGUGCCAGGGCUGCUGGGCAUCCCCAUGUGCCAGUGCUAAGGGAUUUCUCCACAGCUGCUCUGCCUUGAGUGGGUUUCAGCUCUGGCACAGCAAAAGCAGUCCCAUGUGUUUGUCUUUCCUGGGAAUUUGUUGGAUGCAUGUGGUCUGCCCUGGGUUAAAUAUAGCCGCUGGGCCCCGGGCAGCUCACUGUGCCACACAUAGCACUGUGCAGUUGCUGGGAGACACAAAUCAGUGAUGCAAUCCCGAUUUUGGAGAACUAUGGGCCACGUGAUGCCCCUCCAGAUGUCAGUAAAAGAAUUGGAUUGGAAAUCCUCGAAUGGUCCCUUCUGGGCUUGGUGCUGAUGAUGCUCCUGGGGCUGCCCAGGCCUGAGGUGAACACCAGGCACUGCAAUCAAAUCCAGCACAUGGAAUGAUUAUGUCUUGGCACAUUUUUCCUCUUCUCCUCCAAAGAGCCCCCAGCCACCCUUAGGUAAAGCAGAAAUGGGCUAAUGGGCUCUCCUUUCUCUCCCAGUCUGUCAAAGCUCUUCCCUUACCUGUGAAAAUAGCAGGGAAGUUUCUGCUAAUGUCCUCUGACUUCUAAUGCACAAAUUGCUUCAGGAUUUUACUUAGCAUUAGCACCUCAUCCGCUGAUGUGAGCGCUUAGUAGGGAAUAAUCAUCAGUCACAAGAGCGAGUUCUGAUGCUUGGGGCAUUGGAGUGAGUCAAAGAUGACCCAGCUCUUCAAACACAUAGCAAAUUUAAUAUUAAUAAAAAAGCAAAGUUCCUUGUUAAGCAUGACAUUAUCUUCUGGGAAAGGGCACUGCGAUCUGCAGACUGGUGCUGUCUUGUGCUGAAUGCAAAGGCAAAGCAACAGGACGGAUGGGAGCACCUUGCUCCUGCUGGUCCCCUUGCUCUGCCCAUUGUCAGGCAGUGCCCAGAGCCAGGGCUGGAUGUGGAUGUGGAGAGCUUCUCCUUGGCCGUGAUGUUGUUGGGCAAACAAACAGGGAAGAUUUUCCAAAAUCAGGAGCCACACCAGGCAUGGAGGAGGGCUGGGAUGCAGCUUGGUUGUUGGGAAGGAUGGGAGAUGCUGCCCAGCAAUGGGGGGUUGAGCAGAAUCCAUCCAUCCCCUCUGUGCAGCGCUGGGGAUGGUGCAGGCUCAUGCUGCAUGGGGGAGAUCGCAGACCUGAGGGAGGCUCACAGUGGUCAGAAGGUGCCUGUGGGGAGGCCGGGCCUGUGGAUGCAAGGCAUGGGGACCACAGCUCUGCUGUGCCAGGGGUCCGAGGCUCAGCCCUUCUGAGCUCACCCUGCUGAAAAACGAAGGUUUUGCUGUUUUCACUGAAAUUAAUCCUUAUGGGAAUCUGCUUUCUGAUGCAAUGCUCUGCAAGAGAUUUCUUGUUUUUUUUUUUUUUCCUCAUCCCUCUGCUUAUUUAGACUCGGAAAAUAAACAGGAGCGAAAAAGCAAGAGGUGGUAAAAAUCCCGAGGAGCUGCAGGAAGAGCAAAGAGCUCCUAUCUGCCUGCAGGGACCGCAGCACGGCGGGUGUGCGGUGUGCUGACUCAGCUGCUGUGCCUCUGCGGUGAGAGCGCAGGGCAAGGCUGAGCAGGGCUGCUCGUAGCUUGGCUUGGAAUGACACUCACAAUAACAAACAUCUGAGCUUGAAUUCUCAGCUGACGAUAUUUCUAAAUGGAAGGGAAUGCAUGGGAUGGGAAAUGAUGGUGAAUGGCCAAAAGGAGUGAGGAUUUACUGCUGCUCUGCUGGGGCUGUCAGGCAGGAGAGGACCACGACAGGACCAGGAUUGUGCUGAGGUGAUAGCAUUGGUGCCUCAGCAGUGCCAGUGGGCAUUGCAGGGUGAUGCUGGACCCUGCUUUGCUCUCCAGCCUCUUAUGCUGGAAGACAUGGCAACAAGAGAGGGCCAGCGCCCUGGAGACUUGGGAUGGGCUUUGUGAAGCUGUGACAGCCAUUAUGCUCCAGGGCUGGCCUUGGGCUGCUUUGCUUUGCUGCUGCUUUUCUUGUUGCUGUACCAUUGGCAUUGGGUCCAUCUCUCCCCAGUGCAGCAUCAGCCCUUCGUGGUGAAGUUGGUGUUUGAGAGAGGGUUUUUGUGCUCAUCAUCUUGGGAAUAGCAGGGCAGAGUUGAGCAGAGAGCAGGUUUCCUCGUUCAGAGGCUGGGCUAAAAAUAUUCAGGGAAAAAAAUCAUUUGGGACUGAGCUGAGAUCUGAAAUAUUUGCUGUGUUCUGAGCUUUUCAGACCACUGCAUGGAGGAGAAAUGUUCUUAAUUCAUGGCAGUUCCCAGCUCUCCUAAGGACGUGGCUUGUUGCACUGAAAGGGUGACAGUAGCUCUUUUUUCUCUCUGUUUCUGUUAAAUAGAUAUAUGCAUAUAUAUAUAUUUAAUGAGAAGGAACACUUCAGAACAAAUGUGCUUCAAUGCCAUGUUUGGCUGUGUUCACACAGGAGGUUAAAUUUAGCAUUCUGGGGGCCAAAUUGUGCUGGCUGGCGCAGGGUCACCUCUGGACGGUGCAAGACACAGGGGUUCCCUCAUCCCCACCCAGUGCAAAGGAAGAGGUGCUGACAACAUCACCUUUAUUGUCACUGUUGCUUCAGCAGCCCGUCGUGUGCUUGUUGGGAUGCUGGGCUGGGUGAUGCUGAGAUGGCUGUGCCAAGCCAGUGCCUCAGUGCCUCCUUGGCUGGUGUGCAGCCUCUGGGGUGACGAGUGGGUUUUACCAUUUCUGAAGGGGAACUGGGAGCACUGGGACCAUCUGUGCUGUCUGGGGACAUCAGCUCAGCUCCUCUGCAGUGCUGCUGGGAAUUCACAGGAGGCACCGUGCUCCCAUUGCAGAAACCUGCAGCCAACUGCAGGGCUUUGUCUCUUUGGAAAGAUGGAGAUGUGCUGAGCACGGCAUGGGAAAAGGAGCUGGUGGCUGCAGGGCAGGGGAACCCCAUCCCCAUCACCAAUGCCACGGAUUCCUGCUUUCUCCAGGCUCUUCAUCCUCUGCAGAGCUCCCUUGAUCCAGAUCAGAGGCACCACGGGGAAGCAUCAAAGGCGAUCUCCACAUGAGCACUGGGGAGCAAGGAAUAAUGCAGGGUGGGUGCAUGCCCUCAGGUUGGGUACCUGCAGCCCCCAGAGCUGUAAGUGCAAUGACAGGGAAGGCCCACCUCCAUCUCCCUGCUCCACUCUGUAAUUUCCUGCAGCAAAGCAAACCGUGGCUUCAAUGGAAAUACAUGCACAGCAGGCAUGCCUCUCAUUGAAACCCAGUUUGUCCUGGGAAGCACUGCAAGUGUGUCCUUGGGAUGUCAACCUUGGCGUGAGGUGCAUGAAUAGACCCAUUCAGACACAAACACAGACCUCCUGAAUACAGCUCCAUCCACCAAGAGACGGAUUCCUGAUGAAAUGAGCUCAACAAAGCAGCAGAGCACACAGGAGAUAAUGGAAUGACUGCAAAAAGCUGGCAGUGUAUAGGAAUUUUAAUUCAACUUGACAAAGCCAAGAGGCUUUGUCAACUGGGACAAGGAGGUGUCAAGGAGGAAAAGGGGAGAGGCUGAGGCUCUUGCAUGUCUCUACAUUGAAUGUAGAGAAGGCUCUACAUUCAGCCUUCCAACCCCAAAAGCUGGCUGCCAUCUCCACACCAGAGCUCCCAAUGCAUGCUAACCCGGUGAGCUGGGAUGGGGCUCCCAGCACUAACUCCCCGUAGAGCUGUCAUUACAAACCAAUGAGGUAUCCGUGUUAUGUUUUUGUUCAGCUAAAAAAGCCUUCAGAGAGAUGCUGAAUAAGUAUUAAAAGGCCUUUCUUUUUUUCUUUUCCUUUUUUUUCUUUUCCUUUUACUAACACAGAGAAAAUUGAAACCAGCUGGCAGGGCUGGUCGUUCCAGCCAACUGCAGCAGCCCUGGGGAUUCCCCUCAUGUGCUGGUGCUGCAGGGAGGGGAAACUGGGGUAAGCCAGGUGACUGGGGCUGCGUCCUGCCUGCUGGGAGAAGGAGGUUUUGCUUCCUCCUGCCCUGCCUUGAAGCCAUCGGUCACCUACAGCAAGCAGCAUGUAAGGGGAUUUGCCUGCCUGGGGAUGAGUCCCUGCCCAAAUGGGAGAGCUGGAGGAACAGGACCAAAGGAAGCAGGAGAGAUGACGGAAAGAUGCAUUUUGCUGUGUGGAGACUGCUUGCCUUACACUGACACUGUGAGUUGUGCUGAAAUAUGUUUGUUUCCUAAGCACAAGUUCCAUCCGGAGUGAUUGCUUCUUGGCUGUAGCUAUUGUGUUGCAGAAAAUAAUAAAUCUCCAUUAAUUAGGCACAAAAGGAGAGCAGCAGAGGCAAUACCUCGGGUAAGAAGCCAGGUUUCACUGCUGCUAGCGCUGCCCAUGUGCAGGUUGAGCGUUCUGCAUGCAAAUCCUGGGCUUUUCCUGCCACCCUGCAGCCCUGCCUCAGAGCAUUGGAAACAAUUGCACCAAAACUUUUGGAGCAAGCCUUUUGCUCUCUCCUUGCAGCCAGCAUCUCAGCCCAUAGUGGCCUUGGCUGUCACCGCAGCACUCCUGCCUGCUCCAUUCGCUUGGUUCGAAUUAACUCUGCCAGCAGUGCUCUGCCCUGUUUUCUUCUGGCUCCAGCAACCUCAGGGCUGCUCAGUGCUUGUGUGGCCAUUCUCCCUUUGCGCCUCUGGGACAGAUGGAAUGAAGAUUGGUCUUGGGCAAAGCUGGCAGCCUGAGAGAUCGGUUUUGGAGCCGAGAGGGAUGGGCAUCCCUUGUGAAGCUCUGCAAGGCCUCAGCUUCUCACUGCUGGAAACCGUGAGUGUGGGCUGGAAGAUGUGCCAGGGAGCCCCGGGCACACGUGGGGACCAGAGCAGGCUGCAAGCAGCUUCAGCAAUUAUCUAGCAAAUUCUGCCAGGACAUAGGGAAUGGGGUGGGGAUGGGGUCCCUGAGGUGCCUCGAUGAGUGAAUGCCACGCUGGCUGCUUGCUGGUCCUGCAAGGCACUGUGCCUAGUGCCCAUCCCUGCAUCCACACAGCUCCGAUGAGAGCAGGCCCAGAAGAUGUGUUGGAGUCCUUUGUCUAGAGAACCAGCAGCAGUCCUUCAUGUGAGGCUGCCAGGCCUCUGAAGAAGCCACAUCAGGAGCAUCCCUGCCUUUGUGGUGCUGUGGAUGCAAGUGGGUUGGGAAUACCUUUCAGAUCACUUUGUUCACAGUGUGAAAUCAAUGCUUCUGAAAACGAAGGCUAGAGGAGAGCUGGGUCUCUGCCUGGGCUUGGGAGAAUUUCCUUCCAAGAUGCUGUCACAGGUUGCAGGGGAAAGCACUCCAGGCUGAGGCUCUGGCGUAUUUCUAGAUUUCUCCUGGGUUUAGGUGGCUCAUGGAUAUUGGCUGUCAUGCAACACAGUGGGUGCAUCAUAGCUCUGCUCUGCAGGGAGCAGAGCAUAGAGAUCCGUGGUGGGGAUUAACGGUGUCUGCUCUCUGGGGUGGCUCCAGAGGCUGAGAAAUGCAUGACCAGGCACAGCACAAAGCCCAGAGGAGCAGAGUGAUCUCAUGCAUUUCCACCUUCUUUUCAUCAGCAAUCAGUGCUGGGAGCACCGUGAUGAACUUUCUGGUGUCAACCUGACACGCUUCAGGAGCAAUGAUUUCAGGAUGACUUUCUCCCCAAUCCCCCCCCCCAAAAAACAACAACAACAACAAAACAACCCAAAAGCAUUGCUUUGAAUGUGCUGGCUCAGCACUUCGGCUGCUGCUGGUUUUUUUCACUCUGUGCUUUUCCCCUCAUUAAAUCCUGCCCUCUGCGGCAGUGCGUGAGCUCAGGCACUUUGACACACUCAGUCCCUGCCAGCUCCUGCCACCGAGCCCUGUUAUGAUUGAUUGCUGUGUGAAAGGGGCUACAGAUGCUGUGGUUAUGCAGAACAACAGGGGGCUGCUUGCUGUGGCCCAGGAAGAUGUUAUCUGCCUGGGAUUCGCCUUGGAUAAAGCCCCAGAAGGCCUCUUCAAGUUGCACAACCAGUUGAGGCCACCCUGGAUUUGGCCAUUUCUUGGCAGAAGCACUACAUGGAAGCAAACAUUUUAGCAAGCCCCUUCUGAAGGGCAGUUUGGUGAGAAUAUGGGCAGGAAAGUCCCGGGGCUGCAGAACGCGUGAGGGCUGCCCUAAUGCAGGGAGGGGGACUUGGGUUAGGGUUGGGGUGUGGGUCUGGAGGGGCCAGGCUUCUCCUGGCCAAAUUGAUGGAACCAUAGAAAAACCUGAGAUGCAGAGAUGCUCUGUGAGGCUGCGUCUGUCGUUAUUCACCUCCUCUGUUUUCAGCUUCUGUUUUUUUUCCUCUUUGUGGGAAGCGACCGAGGUACGGAUCUCCAGUCUGGAACCUCUUAUCUGCAUGCAGAUGGUUUGGGUAAGGAACUCCCCAGAAGGAUGGGAGCCCAUUUGCCCCCUCCUAAACACACAAAUACGUGAACAAAGCCAUUGCAAAGCAGCCCUGCCCACACGUGCAGAGACAACACCUCCAUUGGGCCGCCCCUGCUGCAUGCAGCCCCUCUGUUUCUCUUUCAGUCUGCAGUACAUGGAAGGAACCCGGUGCUGGCAUUUGGUGAGAUGGUGCCCAUCCAUCAGCUGCUGCUGCCCUGCAUGGAGCUGUGUCUCAGCCCAGGGAAUCAAUCCUGCCUAAUGUAUAAAUAUUAGAUCUGGAGUCUCAGCUGCAGAGGAGAAAGCGGAGCUGUCAGAUAAGCUGCAAUUAGUGCAUUUAUCUACUUUAUUUUCCUGUCGUUUCCCCAAACUCCUUUUGCCUGUCUGCUCCUAAUACAUUAUUAAAUCUGCUCUAAGUGUUGAUUAAAGAAGCUGAAAUCCCAGGUGUUUGUUACCCAACACUGCUGAGAUGCACUCUCAGACUACCUCAUGCAAAUUGUACUUUUUGGUCUAUGUGGGGUUUUUUUUUUUUGCACGUAUUUUCCACUCUUUCUACGUACCUUCAAGCCAAAGAAAUGUGUUUUCAGCAGAGGUUCUGUGCUGUGCUUUGCUUAGCGACGUGCCUGGCUUUGAGGUGGCACCAGGUCCCUGUGCAGGGAGCACACAGCUCUGCCAGCUCAGCCUCCUGUUGUGGAGAUGCACUCACCGACGGCUCCAGCAUCUCUUUAAGCAAAAAGCUGCAAAAAGAGGUAGAUCUAUUACCAUUGCUCAUGCAAGAGUAAACACGGCAAUCAAUCGCAGCUCCAGACUAACUCCUUUCCUUUGCAGUUUGGGUGUUUAGAAGUAAUUUUGGGAGUAAUCACUGCAAAUGGAAGCAUGGAAGUAAAUGCCUGCAAUAAAACAUUGCGGGGGUGACUGUUAUCCUAAUGAUAUUUCCAACAAACACUGCUGAACUAUGUUUUCUUCUCUAAAAUUUGCAACAGAGCUUUAACGUUCUGAGUGCUAAAUGGGGUAAAUAGCAGCCAGGAUGGUUCUGAGAUGAUUUUUCUUUGCCAUGGCAAAGAUGAGGCAUGUUCUAUCCUUCCUCCUGUCCAGGAGCACUGCGUUAUUCUCUGCUUCCCAAUUUGCUCACGCUUUGUGUCAUGCUACAGAUCCCCUUUCCAUUCACCCAGUAUAAAUAAUUGCUAUCUUCUUUCACAGAGCAAACACAAACUUUGCAAACUGGCAACAGCCUUACAGCAGAAAGCUGCUGGCCAGAUUCCAGUGGCCUUUUCUAGUUGGUUUUUUAUUUAUUUUUUUUAUUCCUUUCCAGAUGGGUUCAUCUCUUAUUCCUUGUGAAUAAUUUAUCCGGGCACGCCUGGAAAUGUUCUCUCAAGAAAUUAUGGCUGCCUUCAAAUCCCUGUGGCAGUGCUGCCUGGGGGUGGCAGGGAGCGAUCCCUUCUGCCCCCACUGAGCUUCUCUGGGGGGUGGGUGGGUUGGGAGGAGGUGGGCAUGGAAGGGAGGUUCAUGAUUAACUUCAGCCUCUGCAUUUCUGGAGCUGCACUCAGUGCAGUGUAGGGAGCCAAGCGGAUGGGCUGCCCCUGCUUUGCUUUGAUGGAUGGUUGCACUUUAGGUGCUGCUGUUUGCAAAUGGAGCCCGCGGUGGCGAGGUCUUGCCAGCCAAGUGCUUCUCGUUAUUCAGCAUUUGCAAACCAAAGUGGGAUGGAUGGAGGAGUAGUGCCAAUCGUUGCUCCCGGCAUCGUGUCUCUCCAUCUGACAAAACCUGUCAGAAGGGAGUGGAGGCCAGAAGGAAGAACUCGCCUCACUUGCAAUCAAAGCACCUGAAAUGCCAAGGCCCUUCAAGCUACGGGGGGGGGAAAAUUUGGGGGAGGCCUCAGCUGUGUGCUCGCUGCUCCUGCUGGGAAUGCAGCCAGGCUCUGUGCUCUAUCAGAGCCAUGCAGUGAGCACCUGGCAGGGAACGGUGGCAGCAAAUGGAGCCACAGCACUGUCAGCCCUUGUCAGUCAAUGUCAAGCAGUGGGCAGCCAUCCUUAGUGCAGUACAGGGAUGUGCUGCUCUGCAGGAGGUGGGUGGCUCAGGGCUGCUCUUUUUGUUGCAUGCCUCUGUCAGGUGUAGAGCUAUUAAGGCAGGUGGUUAAACACAUGCUUCUCUAUUGAUCCUCCUCUUCUUCCCAGAGCUAGAGUAGCGGGCAUUGUGGGAUGGGCUGAUGGUUGAUGGGCUGAUGGUUGAUGGGCUGAUGGUUGGGCUUGAUGAGCUUAGUGGUCUUUUCGAACCUUAAUGAUUCUACAGUUCUCUGAUGUUCUCUCGUUUCACAGCCUGUGCAGUGCUUUUCCCCCUGUUUGGCAUUGGGUAGCCAAGGACAGAAGUCUAAAAGCAGGCAGGUUAUUCUCCAAAUGCACCACAAAACAAGAGCAACAACAACGAGGGCUUGUAGUUAUGCCUCGUAAAUAACUCCUCAUGGAAUUGUGCGAUUUUCUAUUCCUUUGGCUGGAUGAUGGGGGUCAAGGAUGCUGAAAUGAAAGGAGGCCUCAUACAGGGAUGGGAGCAGAGGGAUUUGAUUGCACGCAAGCCCUGCAACAGUGAAGAGCAUUGUUCUUAGGAGCACCGCUGCCCAAAACAGCACUGCAAGCACAGAUCCCUGAGGUGUGAGGCUGGGAACUUCAACAGCAGCAAAUUGCAGAGUCCAGGAGCUCCCCUGAAAGGGCUAUCGUUAACAGCGGGUUUAAAAGCAAAUCUAAUGGAUGUUGGAGAAAUAAACCACCUUUAUCCUGGGCAUUUGCUGCUCAGUCCCAGUGCUCCUGCAGAGCUCGGGCUGUGGAGGCACAGCACCACUCAGCUCUUGGCUCCCAUUCAGAUCUCAAGACGUCUUCAGCGAUAAGGAGCGCUGUGGCUUCCAAUGAGACCGAUGGGCUCUUGCACAGGAGGCACGACGUCUUCUGUUGUGUUGGCUGGAAGUAAAGCCGCGAGGCACAGCCAAAAACCCAGCUUUCUGACUGCGAUAAGGUGCCAAAAUGUCACUCCUCCUUCUGUGCUUCUUGCUUGAGCACUCCUUCCCCUUCUGUGCGUAUCGCUCGCUUUGUGGUUCGUCAGCUCCGGGUGGGCUGCGCUGCCCACACUGCCUGAUGGAGCCCAAAUGGAUCUGCUUUGAGGACGUGCUUCAAUCUCACCUAUAUCUUAUUCCUGGAUAUAGAUUGGCUUCAGUGCAUUUCAAGUCCUUUGUUGAGCCAAGGCCCGUGCCAACACAUCCAUUCCAUUACGCUGAGAGCAGCAUCAAGGAUUUGGGUUCCUUUACGCUACUCACUGUCCAUCAGAACUAAGCAGUGCCUUUUCCCAUGUAUUUGGAAGGAAAAAAGAACCAAUUCUGUAGCACAGUGAAGAAGCUGGGUGAAUGCUUAGGGUGGGCAAAGCCCAAGGCAGUCUGUAUUUACAUUCUGCUAACUCCAUCAGGCACAGGUCUUGCUGGAGGUGAGUGUACAACAGGGCUGUCUUCAAUAAGAGGCUGAGGAUAUCUAGGGAGCUUUAACUGUGAAGGCUCCUGUAAGGUUUUCAUAACUCCUGCCAAAGGAGAAAGACUUAAAAACCUUCCUUUGCCUUGCUCUCUUUCUGUCUAUUGUAUUAUUUAAUCUCACCUUCGCUCAGCAGAGUUCUUAUGUGCUGAAAGGAAAUGAAAUCUCUGCUGUGUUAUUAUUGCUCUCUGCUUAGAUAAAUAGCAUUGUGCUGAAUUCAGGGCACGGCUCGCCAGCUUUUACCUUCUAAAUAUGCUGCUCUGGGGCAGCACAGCUCUGAGAGUGAGGAGUGCUCCGAGGUGUUGCUGAGAGAUCUUCCCAUCUCCGCCACUGAAACUGAAUCCUUUAACAAGAAAACAAAGCUGUGGGACAUUCAGGGUGAGAAAGACACUGGGAUUUGUCACCUACCCACAAUACCACAGCAGAAGCUGGAUUUGGGUUCAGUGAGACCGUCGUAGGGAUGCUUUGUCCUGCUUUUUGCUUGCAGGGCUGAGAAAGCCUUUUUUCCCAAGGUUUUAAUCUCCAACUUGCUGACAGUGUAAUGCAAGGACGUGCACAGACCCUGGGCUUCGCACAGCCUUAGGAGUGGUUCUGCUGCUCUGACAGCAGGUGUCCCAGCAGCUGCAGUGUGAAAUGCUCCUGUAGGACAGUGCCCCUUCUCCUCACAAAUGAGGACAGCAGAGGAAAUUAAGCAUGACGGUUCUUCCCAAUGCACUGCUCACCUGGGGUUCACAGAGUCACUAAUGUUGGCAAAGCACUCUAAGGUCAUCAAGUCAAACCAUGGAUGCUCGUGGGCCAGCAGCUCUGGGGCACCUUCGAGACGUGGGAGGAGGGACAAAAGGUCUGGAUGAGCUGCGGGUUAGGAGAGAGCAGGAUGGUUCUCCUGAAGCUGAGCAUCGGAGGAACUGGAGAAUGGAGGGUCUUAUUUGGUGCCUGGUUCUCAUGGGGGGCUGUGUGUUCCAGCACUGGGAUCUCACAGGGGUCACAGAAGAGACUUGAUGUGAUGACCAUCAGCUGCCGUUUCCAAUUGACCAGUGUGAUCAUUCCUAUUUCAACCCACCAUUCUCAGGCCCUGCUGUGGACCUAAGAACAGCUUCAGUGACAAACUCUCCCCGUGUCCUCUAUUUCAGCCCUCCUGGUGAUUGGCUGCUGACUCUCUGAUCCUAUUCUGGUCCUUUGGAACACUCUGAGGUUGCAUUCAUGGACUCUCAUCUCUUGCUGCAGUGCACUGCUUCAUGCUCUUGUGAUACUUUGCUGCUUUUAUGUGCUAAAGCGGAGAAUUAUAAGAGAGAUUAUAAGUGAGAUUUCCAACGUUGUGCUGGCAGAGCAAAGAAUGAGUGUGGAGCUGUGCUUACCUAAUGAACCCCCAUGUGGCAGGAGGAGGUCCUGUGGCCCACAGCUGCCUGGUGAUGUGCAAAAAGCAAAUUGCUGUCACUGCAGAGGUGCUGAGAGUGACUUCUGGAAGCCCUAUGCGUCUGGUAACUAAAACGCCAUAAGGAUUUCUCAUAAUGAUAGCUAACAGUUUUCUAGCCAAAAGGCAUUUUGGCCAAAACAAACCCCAAGUCUAUUCCAGACCUUGCUGGGCAGGAAUUUUGUGGUUGCCUAGGAACCGCUGAUCACAGCCUGAUUGCAUCCAAUAGGGGCUGUCAAAGGGCAGCUUCUUCUGCGUUUCCAUCAGUAUCAUCACUGUCACAGCCAUGCAGUCCUAUGGCAGCUUCUAAGGGGCCAAAGCAGCAUUGGGGGAGCUGCACUUGGAAGUGGAUGGGAGAUAAGGGCAGAAAACGGGAGUGCAUGUAGGGGAUUUUGAAGCGGAGUUCAUCAUGGAUGAUGGACAAGCCCUUGGAAUUCAUCAUAAGGAGCCUAGCCAUGGUAGGUAUUAAUGAUAGGAAAAAAGCAGUAGUUUGCAAAAGGAGCUUGAUACCACAUGACGUGUAUCAGGAAUUACAAAGCUCAGCCAGCUGAUGAAAGACAAGUUUUAAAAGAGCGUUGGAAGCUGUGGCUGUCAAGAGGAGGCACAAAAAAACUGAAUAUCUUUAACAGAGGGAAAAAAAUGGUUCCAGCUGGAGGGUUCGUCAGUGCGUGGAGUGGUUCAAUCCAUGCAGUCAUCUUCGGUCAGUGUUUCUUUGUGGCAUUUGGAAAGACAGAACGAUGUGCUUUGUAUCUCUAAUGGGCAGUACAAUCUUUCCCAACCCGUCUUUAAUCAGCAGAGUAGUAAAUUAUGUCUGUGUUGUCAGGGGGUACACUUAGAAAUCAGUGUCUAUGUAAUGCGUGUUGGAGAGUCUCAGAAGAGCUGGCAUAGAAGGCUGAGGUCUGCAGAUGUUCAUUUUUAAUCAGCACCAGAAAAGCUGGGAAAAGGCUAGUUUGUAUUUUAAAAAGGCUGUUAUUAUAUCUGGGAUAAAUGCAAGCUAGUAAUUGUGGACAGAGCAAUAUAACAGGUGAAAGAGAAUUCAAUCAAUGAGGAAUUCAGCGCUAGGAAUAAAACGAAUGGGUUUAUGAAACAUAGGUCUUUAGGAGCUUGGAUUCAUCAGCUUAGUCAUGGUUAUUAGGCAGGUCGAGGACAACCCGUGUUUUGCAAAGUGCUUGACACAGUUUUACAUGGCAGAGGGGGGAGCAUUGCCCCAUGGUGGGAGCUCUGCUGGGGUUGGCUGUGGCUGCACCAUCCUUUCCAGAUGCGGAGCGAGGUAAGGCCUCUUGCUGGGCUGUCUGUUAUAAAAUUGAGCUUUGUUGCUUGUUUGUUUGUUUGUUUUCCCCACAGUGUUGCUGUAGGAAUUAUGGGUGAGGGCGGGAGCCAACUGCAAGGAACGUUUUGAGAAGGAAAAUUAAAAGAUAAAUGGUUCCAAAAAGGGCGGCGUAGUCUAUUUAUGUGGCUGUGUUCCAUCCAAGAAGGCAUUCGGAUAUGUCCUCGGCACAGCUGACUCAACCCAGCUACCAAAACAUGGACAGCACAGGGUCUGUGCCUGUCUGCAUAGAGCAGUGUUGCUGAGUGCCUUCCACACCCAAGGGGCAGCAUCUUCACCUUUCUGCCUUCCCAAGGAUGCUGAGGGUGUCAGAGGGCCAGUUGGAGCCAUUCCUCCCUUUCCAGUUCUGCCUUCUCCAAGGGAUCGUCCCAGCCAUGGGAUGUAGGAUGAGGGAGAGAUGCUGCCAGAGCCUCACUCUGCCCUCCACCAUCACGUUGGCUAUUAGCAAGAGCUCAGGAGGAAUCCAUGAAGCCUGAGGAGCAGUGCAAGUUCACCCUGUGAGAAGACUCAACCUGUCCAUUCCUCUCAUGUUUCUUCUUGGUUUCUAACAGUGACUUGAAAGGAUACGGUGCUGCUGUCAAAGAUGUGUCAGGAGCACGGCAGAGCCUCUCAGAGUUGCUAGGUGACUGCUGCCCUCAGGGCACAAAUCCCAAUCCCGCCUGCUCCUGGGAUGAGUAAUGCAUCUCGUUGGCAUCUGUUGGGCAAAAGCACUGCCGCUUGGGGCUUGCAGCUUGAGUCACUGCUGGUUGAGCAGCAGGUUCCGGGGGUGGCCGGGGGAUGCUCCUUACACUCCGAGGUGCUCAGCCCCAAAGCAAAUCUCUGCCUUAUGGAUGGGGUUGGAGCAACCCGGUCACCUGGCUCGUGCUGGAGAGAUGCUCCUCUCACCUGAGCACUGUGACUGCAAGAAGGUGUGCUUGUUGGCCAGCACUCUUCAAUUGGCAAUCAAAGACCUCAGGGUAGAGGAGCGUUCCACAUCCUGAUGAUGAAAAUAGGAAAAGCAAGACAUGGGGAGAUGGAGAGUCUGACCCAUUCCAGGUGGAGUCAGGACUUGAUGCAGGCACUGACCCCUCAGUGUCUCAUCACAUUUCUCUGGGCUUCCAAGGUUUUCAGUUAAUUUCUCAAGUUAAAUAUAGUUAUGGCAUAACUUCAAAAAUGUUUUUUUGGUUGGUCUGCCUUCUAGUUUCACAUGGUUUCAGGUUAAAUGCUGUUCUGGCUGUGUCCCAGUGAAGGACUGAAUUGAUGCACAAGUUUUUUAAGGUCAGUUCUCCCCACCUGACAAACAGGAGGUAUUUUAGUCCAUGGUAGCCAGUGAUUUUGAUGCCUGAGUGCUCUCUGUUAAGAACAUAUUACAAAGAAAUGGGAAACUUAUUUCAGUGACAUUCGCUGGCCAAGCAGAAGAAAUGAUAAACUGCGAUGUUUUCAGGCUGUUCACCUUUGUUUGAAGGGUGAAGUGGUGCUUGAAGGCAUGGCAGCGGGAUGCAGCCCCCAGCGCUUGUUGCACUGUGGCAGUGACCAGAAGGCCACACAGAGACCGCCCGUGGAAGAUGCUGCACAAACACAAACUGAAGAGCAGGACAUGCCUGAAGGAGUGCCGUUAGAGCAGAAGGACUGAGACAGUGUGAGGAAUCAAUGGCAAAAUAGGUCCCGUUAAUUUCAGCAGUGGCAUUGGGCUUGCUCAUGUAGCUACUGCAGAGGGGCUGACUCGAUGAUCCCUAGAGGACCCUCCCAACCCCUGCAGUUUUAUGAUAUCCAGUUGGGUUCAGGAUGCUUUUAUGGAAAAUAUGCAUUUUGUGUGUAUGAAGAGGAGAAGCAAAGGUUUCCCCACCUGGGCUUUGGUGUUGGAAAAAGCUGGAAGCACAGCGCGGAGCAGAUCAUGGGCAGCAAAGUGAGGGCUGUGCUGUAGCAUGGCAUGGGUGGGGAGACUUCAGGAAGCCCUGGGUGAGCUGCUGUUGAGAUCUGCACAGGGGGCAGAGACUCACAUAGCUAACGAGCUCCAGGGCAGCUCAUCUGCCUUAGAUUGCAGGCUUUUCUCCAAGCAGGGAUGGUAAAUUGCAAGCGAAAAUAAUUUCUGUCAAGGAUCUAAUGAUGCUUGAAGUUCCUGCAACCUUUCAGAUAAACAGGGUGGAACAGCGCAGUGAAUUUUGUAAGAAAUCUCUAAAAAUGUGCAGUGAACAUAAUGGAGCAAAAUUGAUCUGUUGUUUUCUCUUUCAGGAAGCAAAUAUUGCAUGAGGAGGAAAAGAGAAUAUGGGCCAGAAAAUACAGCUGUACUCUCAGAAUGCGUUGGUCACAGGGACAGCAGCUGUCCCCAAACUUAAUAUUUUUCAUUAAAAAGAAAAUUAAGAUCAGGAAUUUCUCCAGGGCUUUAAAAACAUGCUCUGUCAGAGAGUUCUAGAAUUGUUAAUGUUGGAAAAGACCACAGAGAUCAUUUAGUUCAACCACCAACCCACCACGUGGCUGGGGGUGAAGUAGAGGUCCUUGGUGCGCCUGUGGUGGAGGCCCAGCAGUGGCAAAAGGGAUGGCUGAGGAUGAAAAAGAUCCUUGUAUCAUUUUGAGGUGGGAUAUUAGGAACAAUUUAUCUUCCAAAAUAGCAGUGAUGCGGGGGGCACAGCUGCCCAGGGGGGUGGUGGGGUCACCAUCCCUGGAGGCGUUCUGGAACGUGGAGAUGUGACACGGAGGGAUGUGGUCAGUGGGCACGGUGGGGUGGGCUGAGGUUGGACUUGGGGACCUCAGAGGUCUUUUCCAGCCUUAAUGACUGUAUGAUUCUAUAGUGAUUCUGUAACAGACCUCUGGCAGACCCACGCGGAGGGAGCACCCUUCUGCACAAAGCAGAGGAUGGGCUGCAGACAAGCUGGGAACAGGUGGAUGAGUGCAGGCUAACUCGGAGAAGGAGCUGGCAGGCACUGCUGUGCGUGUUUAUCGCAGAGCUAGCAGGGCUCAUUUUGAUAGCAGCACGUGUCUGCUGCCAGCUCCUGCAGCUGCCAUAGGUGGUUUCAACACUCCCAAAUCUGCCUCUGGCUGUAUGGGGACAUGGAUGUGCUGCGGCUGCCCCAUCCUCCAGGGCUCUCCUCCAGCCUCGGAAAGCUCCAUGAGCCCACUGCAGCUCCGCUCCUCUCGUUAGGUUUGGCUGCAUCUCAUCGUUAACGAGCAAAAAGCCCAACAGCCCCCCAGCCAACUAGGGAAUGAUUUCUCAGCGCUCUCCUUGAGGGCAGCAGCUGCAUCUGGUAUUUCUUAGAAUGAAAGCAAAUAUUUUUCUUUCUGUCUAUCUUUCUUUCUUCCUUCCUUCCUUUUUUCCUAGAACUUAAUUUUCAAUAAAGCCCUCUGCUUGCCAGAGGUGACAUAUUCUGCAGCUGAGACACCCGACGGCACCUCAGGACAUUGCAGACGACUUCAGAUGUUUCUGUUCCACAUUUAUUCUGUUAGCUUUCCAUCACGGUCACCGUGCCUCUAACCUGGGGUUUUGGCUCUUAUGACUCGGAGCUCGGAGAGUGAGUGGCAUCACAUCUUUCCAGGAAAAUGCUGUGUAAGUUUGACUUGAAGUAUGUGGAAGUUUGGCUGGAAUUCAUCAAGGACUGACCUAGAGAUGAAAAGGGGGUGUGAAAGUUCUCGUUGAGUUUGUGAACUUCCUUUGUUCUCUUUGGAUCCUCGUGAUUUAUGUGUUUUUGCAGAAUUCAGUGCACUCCAACUGAGCUAAAAUCUCAGGAGAAGAAAAAUAAGAGGAACUCAAAUCUAUACCAAAUAUAUUCAUCAAGCAAAACCAUUAAGCCCGGUACAUUUCAACGCUGGAACUAAAGGCAUCCUACCAGAUUUUACUGUUAGUUUUAUGUGGAAGGCACUUGGGUACAGUGAUGGACUUCCUUAAAAGAGAAUGGAUGGGAUUUGGGCAGGCAAAGCCGUGGGGGAUGCAAGGAGAAAAAUGUCUCCUGUGCAAAUCCAGCACGAGUAGAGAAAAACUUGUGUAAUGCUUGCAUGCUUGUCCAUGUGCACACUCUUUGCACGCUUGGACUGGUGCAUUGCACCCCCAGUUCCCAACUGAUAAGCAAUGGGGCAAAUACGAUGUACAGAAGUUGGGGUGCUGGGGGGCUGUUUUCUGGUGCCCGUUUCCAGGCUCUCUUGAACAUUUGGUCUUGCUUUUGGAUGGUCCUAUGUGGAGGCAGAGGUUGGACUCGAUGAGCCUUAUGGUUCUGUUCCAACAUGGGGUAUUCUGUGACUCUGUGAUGUGGGUCUCGGUCCUGGUACUGGAUGGGACAGGACUGAAGGUCCCUUGAUGCACCAAAGAUUAUUUUUUCCCCUUCUGCUGCUGAAGUUUGGCAAUACUUGCAAAUGUCACCGCCUGUCAGACAGAGCUUUUGCAUUUCCCAUCCCCUGGAGUGGAGGCUGCCUAUCAAGUGUCUCUUCCCCACACUUUAAUGUUUCUGGUAAAUGUACUGAUUUGAUUUUUUGAUUUUGUCUGAGCAAAAUAAGCGCGUGUCACACGCCUGAGCUGACAGCCGAGGGAAAAACCGAGGCGCGGCCAAGGGGAUGGAAUGAGUUAUCCCUCCUGGUGCUACACAGGCAGGCCAAUGUGAGGCAAGAGCCAUUUAGUCCACGUGUUUGCACUGUGCCCCCGCAGAGGUGUGGAGCUGGGAAUGGGCGACGGAGCUUUUGUGUCUCGCAGUGGAUGCUGGCAAUAACAGGAGCUUCUGUUGAUGUUUAGCGAUGACAUAUCAGUUUCUCCUUUUUAUCUAAUAAAUACAAUCUCUUGCACAGGCAGAGAUCCCAGCAGAAGUAUUUAGAUGAAGAAUUAGCUCAAGCAGUGAGAGCAAAUAAAAACCCCAGAGAGAUGCAUUUGUAGCGCUGCUAAGCCUUGCAAUGUUCAGGCUUCAAGCGAAGACCAUCAAGAUGAUUUUCCACUGACUCUUGCAAAUCAGUCUGACUCCCACAAACUGCUGAUGACACAUGCUUUGCAAAAGAAAAAGCCAUCUCUUCUUGCUUUGGACGGGGUCAUUUGCUGCAUCCUCUGUGCAGCCUUCUGAUUGCAGAGGGAUGCACCAGGAGUCAGCACAGUGCUGACCAUGAGUCUCCUCUCCCAGCACAGCUGCUUUACACAAGGCUCCCUGCAACACCUGCGGACUUGCAAAGGGGAAUGCAGCGUCUAACAUACACCAGGAAUGUCACAGUGAGGUUGGGGAGGCGCAAGUGCUGUGUGAAGGGCAGUGCAAGGGAAGCUCGGACCCAACCAACCUUCUGCUAGAGGAAUGUCCCUUCUUCUAUCAGGUGCCCUCCUCGCUGCGUGCUAGGUGUGAAAAAUCCCACGUGUAUUUGCACGGAUUGAAGAGUUGACAAGACAGUGAGAACAAAGCCAUAUGCUGCAUGUCAUCAUUUAUAUCCCACACUUUCUAAAUCCCCCACCAGGAUCACAGUAUUUUUCUCACUUGUGAGUUUCAUGGAAGGAAAAUAGAAGCCUAAUAGAAAGCAGAAGGAGCUCCAUGUUUUCUGCUUCAGCAUCACCUGCUGGUUCCAAUGGGAUCUGCAAAGUGGUGGAAGGGCUCGUGAGGGGUCGUGCAGGCGGUGCACAGUAACCCAUUUUGCAGGCUGUGGGGUUUCUAAUGGGAUGCGUAGGCGCUGCUCCAUAAUGGCUCAUCACCUGAAGACGUGAAUGAAGAAAACCAGGUCAGGGAGGACAGGAAUAAGGCAGAACUGUUAACUCGUUUAAAUUUUACUGUCAUACUCUGAGAUUCGCAGUGAUGAGGAGGCAUUAAAAGGCAUUCCUGUACAAAUCUUAACCCCCACCCACUGACUGCAGGACUGAGCUGCUGCACUACUGGGUUAUAGUGGAGGCAGCACCGAGACCAUUGUAUAACCUCAUCUGUCCUCUGUGGAAGCCUGAAGUCUGCAGGAAAGCACAAAUCUAAACCUCUAGAAGUAUAAUUGACCCCGAGGUAAGGGAACAAUAUUAGAAAUGCCAUUUCCCCUCUCUUUCCCUUCCCAUUUCCUCAGCCCUCAUUCAGAUUUACAUAAAACCAGUUGAUAGCUUGAGAUAAUGCUUCUUAAUGCUUGUAGGGUCAUCUCAUGCAAGGAAAAGAUCUGAAUAGAGUUUUCAAUUUUUUGAAUUUAUUUAUUUAUUUUUUUACAAUUUAAUGAAAAGUUGGGGAUUUUUUGCCCUCGAGCCCAUCCUCUUGCACAGCUGACCCUCAGUGCAGGAGAGGGACCCAAUAACUACACCAAACCCCGGCUGUGUGGAAACCUGACCAGUGCAGAUCUUUGAUGGCAUUAGAAAUAGAAGGCUUCAAUCACAUGUCAGGAGAUGGAGGUUUGGCACCGAGGGAUGUGGUCAGUGGGCAUGGUGGGGUGGGUUGGGGUUGGAUUUGGUGGUCUUGGAGGUCUUUUCCAGCUUCAGUGACUCUGUGAUCCUAUGCACAGAGAGCUGCCCUAUCCUAGGAGGACCUGUGAGGAGCUUUAUGCCUCCUCCAACCCCAGCCCUGUUCUCUAUGGGCUGCUAUUCUUCUGGUUUGUGUUUGAGAGCCCAGCAGUGAUAAGUGUGUUAGGCUAUCUACUCCUUACAGACUUUUCACACAGUUUUUCACAUUCAGAACUGGAAAUUGUAGUAGGAUAUCUGUCUCUCAGGAGCUUUUCACACAUUUUUUCACAUUCAAAGGCUUGGCUUCAUCAUACACACACAAUACCAGCAUCGGUUCUUCUGCCCAACCAGAUCCCAGACCGUCAGUGCCGGAAAAUUGCAGCCCAGGUGGCACCAAUGGGUCCCAUUGCUGUGCUGAGUGCAGGUGGGGCACGUUGGGAAGAAGGGAUAAAAGAGCCACGUGGUGGGUGGGAGGGAAUGUGGUGGAGUGGGAAGUGUGGGAGCAGCUCAAUAGGGAUGGCACUGCUUCCAGGUAAGGCUGUGGGUUGGAGGAAGGUGGGGUAGGGUCUCACUGGAGGUGAAGCAUUGUUUUUGGGAGGAGUAUCUGAGCAGAGUGGUGUGCUAUAGAACAAGGGGAGGCUGUUCUCUUGAGGGUGGCUGAUUAUUUUUCAGAAGGAGCUGUGAGUAUGGGGGUUGUAUGGCUGGGUGCUGUCCCUGGGGCACCGUUUAGAGGUGUUACCCUUUUCCAUCAAAGCUUUAGGCCCUGGUUUUUGGCUCCUGCAAAGCAGCACAGCUCUGCUGGAACCAACUCAUCCCAGCAGAGCAGUUGACUCUCAAUCCCACAUAACAUUAUGAAAUUUGAAGCAUAUGUACAGCGCUGCUGGCAUGGCUCUUUGCAUGACAUCUUCAGAACGAGCUUGACAGUCACAUAAAUAGCAUAUGUGAGAAGGCCUUAUGGAUCUGCUGCUUGUUGCAUAUUAUUUACAUACAUAUUCUGUACCUAGCUGAUGGCUCUGCUGCAUUUGUCUUCCUUUUAUCUCUCUUUUUUUUCUUCCUAGUGAUGGUUUUGCCAGGGCCUGGAAUCUUCUAAAGGCAGGUAUUCAAACCUCUAAAAAAUGGAUAGGAAUGUAAUUCCCACUACAAUUCCUUGAAAUCUCCAGUAAGCAUCUAUAACUUCCUCUUGCUAGAGAAUGGAACAGGAGAAUGCUUCAGGGGCUGCACUCAGGUGGGACAGGACUGUGGGGACAAGCUGCCCAACAGCAAGUUAGUGAGCAUCUGUUGUUAUUGAUCCAAAUAACAACAAGAUCUUGAGUGACACCGCCUUGAGAAAAGAAAGCUCUGAGGGAAGCAACCAGCAAAUGGCUGCUGAAUAUCUCAGUGCUGGGCUAUUUUGCAGUAGAUUUGUUGUUCUAUGAUGCAGUGCAGAUGUGGCGAGCAGGUCAUUGCUCUGAAGGGCUUUUGCCAUCUGAGCAUGGAGUUGUGCCCUUCCCUAAGGGACAAGAGGGUGAGAUGCUGGGAUGGGGCUUGGAGGAUCUGCGUGCGUCGUUGCUUCUGUCUUACUGGUGGCUGUGUAAAUAGCACAGCUGCUAUCUCCUUCUCCUAAAUCAGAGCCCUUCCCUCUCCUGGCACCUGGGCUGUGGGGGCCCACAGUACUGAGCAACAGUCACUGGGUGCCUGGGUGACUUUGGGUACAUGGAGUGGGGGGCCAACAUCCAUGUCCUGGGGAGGGAAUGGCCGGAGGGAGGAGGGUUUGCCUCGUGAGACUAGAGAGAUUUGCUCACUUCCAAGUUGAUGGGUUUGAGAUGGAAAAAGGAAUGAGACUGUAAAGAGUAAUAUAAUGUUACAGAGAAGAUGGCUAAUGGGCUCAUUCAGAACCACCUGAAAUGAUCACUCCCUGGGAAAUUGUGAAUAAUGGUGGCAAACAGUAAAAAAUAUCAGCGAAGGGGGUGACGUCAGGCACUCGCCUUCUCCUCUUAGAACUUGAGGGAUUUUGCUUUAAAUGAAUUCAUGAUGUGAGCAUGAUUGGCUUGAAUUACCUGUAAGCAGUGAGGAUCAGCUUGCCACCAUGCAGGCUGUCCUGCAGAAUACAGGUGGCUGCUGACGUUAAGUUACACCCCUUAUUGAGGGCCCUGCAGUGAUACCUGAGGGCUGUGGGACCCCCCCCACUGUGGGAGACUGCUGUUCCUCUGGAUGUGGCUGAAGGGUAUGUCCAAGACACGCAAGGAACAUGGGAGGAAUUGAGCAGAACUGAAGCAGCUCUUCUUGUGCUCAGGUUUUGGAGGCGGAAUGGCUCUCUCUUCUCCCACUUUGUGCUCCCGGGGGAUGGAGUGGGAGCAGCUGUAUUCCCUGGCGUAGUAACCACAUGGAUUUGGGUGCUGGAGAGCAAAUAGGAGGAGAAUGAUGUGAGGAAAAGUGGAGAGAUUUCUGUUGUAUUUAUGCCUGAGGUGGGUAGGAAUUACAUUUAUUUUUCUGUCCUACUGCUUUACAAGAGCAAUAAGUUGAUUCCAGUUUUACUGCUGAGGUGCACCCAGGGAUCAGCUGUCUCUUGAGUGAGAUUUUUAUUGGAUGCUGUGCCCAUUGUGGAUCCGUCCUCGCCUGCAGCCUCGGCUGUGGGCUGGGAUUUUGGGGUGCAGGGAGCAGGCACAGAUCACAUCCUGAUUCUGACACGUGUGUUGGGAGCAGAAGCACGGAGCAGGGAUGGGAGAGCUCUGCUGCGUCUGCUGUCUUCGUGCACUCGUCUGGGUGUAUAUUCAUGGUGUGAUGUGCACGGGUUGGAUCCCCAUUGUGAGCUAUCCCUGAGUAUCUCCUUCCUCAUGGAAGGAAAAGAGGAAAGGAUGUGGCGUCCCAUUGGCCCCACUUCCUUUGGUGGGCUUUAGGGAUGUCCCAGUGCAGGUUGAGACCUGGAGGAGCCUUUUUUUCUGAUGUUGGUUGUUCCCAGGCCCCUGCUUCUUCCUACUGAACUCUUACUGAUCUUUAACCUAUCAGUUCUGAUGCUUAGCAUCCCUGAAAAGGGACUGCGGACACUUCUGCCACCUCCAAAAGGAGCCUGAUGGAGCAAAUAUGGAAGCUACAAUGAAUUCAUAUUGCAAAUAUUGAAGUCAGCGUGCCCUCUCCUUAAUAGAUGUUAUUUCUCAUUCUUCAAAGCAGUUCAUCAGUGAUGGAAGGCGGAUAAUCCACUUCUGGAAUCCUUCUUCCCUCGCGUUCUUGCAUGAUUUAUAACAUAGCUGGAGGAAGAGAAUUUGUCAGCACCAUCUCUGUGAAGUAAUGCUGAAUCCCAUUGCAGGAGGGACUCUGGAGAGGUGAUUUUUGAGCCUGAGAAAUGGUUGUUGUUUUUUCCAUUCUGCCCUGACUUUUCAUUCAUUACUUCCUGCCAGCUCCUCUGAUGCUGUUUGCCAUAGAUCUGUGGCAUUACGUAAAGCAGUCAGUGCUCAUAAACAGACCCCAGCAUCUCUCCUGUCUUGCUGUGCCAUCGCAGGGUGAGCAGGGACUGCUCUCUUCCACAGCUUGGCUGCCCCAGGUCUCCCUUUCCAUGCUUGUUCUGCACGUUUUCCACCUCUGGAAAGUUCUUGCUCCAAUAUCUCUCUCCACCAUGCAGUUCUUCCAUAUAAAAUGCUGGUACCUGCUCUGGUUGUUUCCUCGGUGCUGAAAGAUGCAGUGCUCGGUGGUGCUGCUCAGCAGUGAUCUGGUGAAGGGAGCAGAGACUCUCAGAGCUGACCCUUGAAAAGCAUGAACUUUUGAUCCACAAAGCAGGACCUUUCGGGCUUACAGCAGCGAUUAAUGGCAGAGAACAAAGCUACCUGCCCGUUGCAUCUAUUUCUCACCCUUCUAAAUAGCUUAACCUAGCUCCGCAAUAGGGGAACAAGUGGCUUGAUCAACGGCACUGUGCUUCCAAGGGUGAUGUGUGCCAGUGCCAUCAGUUCUGAUGGGAGAAGGGUGUGCACGUCAACCAGAGGUGCUCUCAGUGCUCAUAGCACAGGCAACGAUGGGAGAAAUGAGUCUCCUGUGCACAUUGCUGGAUUUUGGAGUAAUGGUUAAUAUCCAAAGAACACAUUCCACCUGCCUGUCUUUGGUGAGAGUGCAAAUGUAGCUAGAACUCUGUAUCUGCUUCGUGCCCAUCAGCGCAGCAGUGAUAGAUGGGUUUCUGACCCCCUGCUCUCCUAGCAGCCCAGCACACCCUGCAUCCCCCAACCUGUCUUCUUCUCUCUGUUAGAAAUAAUUUCCCAUCUUGCAAAAUUAAUUCUCUGCUCACAGUCGCCUUGAUUAAAUGGCACAGCAAAGUGUGCUGAAGGUGGCAGAACAGCUCUGACAGAGGGGCUUCACCUCCUGAAAGGAAAGGCAUAGAGUUGUGGGCUUCUGCUGCUAUGGAGUGCAGGGGACUGAGGGCUGCUCUCUGCAAAAGCAGCAGACAUUCUCCAUGUCAUGGAACAACGUUUGUGAAGUUAACCAAAUUGAAGCAACACCAAAUGCAGCCAUUGGCACCGAUCUGUUAUGGAUAUUCUAAUUGUUUACCCCAUUUGUGUAUAAUUUUGGCUUGAUAUUUAAUUCUGCAGAUUCACUCAGGGUCAGGCUGGAGGGGCUCUGGGCACGCGAUGGAGAUGUCUCUGUUCACUGCAGGGAGUGUUGGAUCGAUGGCCUUUAGGGGUCCCUUCCACCUCAAAUGAUUCUGUGAUUGGGUUGGGGUCACACUGAGCAGAACGGAGGGAUUGGGACUGAAGGCGCAGCAGGAAUAUGUUGGGUUUUCCUAUGUGAGAGGACGUUAAGCAGCGUGAAGGCUGUCCAGGUGAGCUCUCUGCUCUGAUUUACUGCUGUUCUUCCUUCAGCCUCUGAAAAUCAACCCAUUAACAAUUAAAGUAAUGUCUCAUCCAGAAUUUAUUUCACACUCCCGUUAAUGGACUGACCAAAACACCUUCAAACGCCGGGGCUCUCCUGCAUCACACAGAGGGCUGUAUCUCUGAUGUGUGCUUUUCCCCUUCGUUCCCUCUCAAAGCUGGGACCUGCUUUCAUGGAAGCAUUUAGGAACACUGCUGCAUGUUCCCAUACCAUUACUGGUGUGAGGAAGGUGCAGCUUCUGUGUUAAAUAUCUCCAGACAAGCUUUAAUGUGGAACUGGAGCAGCAAGGGCUGUCUGCUGGGCCCAAGCUGCCCUCUUGGGCUGCCUGUGGGCUCUGGAAGUGAAGCAGUGUUUGCUGCCCAAGGAGACUGUACUCCUGUCUGUCUCCUGGGCCAUACCAAUGUGUGCUGAACUGUUGGGUUGCACUGGAAAACUGCUUCUGCCAUCUGUGAUAGGUGAGAGGGGCAGCAGAGCGUGAGGCCCUGCAGGCAGGGUGCCCUUGGUGUGGGAUCAGAACAGGGCAGACCCCACGGUCCCCUCUGCCCCCCAUGCGUGGGGAUGGCAGACAGCUGUGGUCACAUCCCAUGGCUGGAUUCGGGGGGGCAGGGUCUGCAGCUCCGAAGCUCCACGUGCUCCUCAAACUGAGACAAAGCGGGGGAUGCUCUCGGUUAUACCCCCCCCUCCCCCCCCUCACUUUAGCCACCAUAGCUCCGACAGCCCCGGCUCUCAGCCCUCCGUGCCAUUUGGCCGCUUUCUAGGUUAAAUUCCCCAAAUUCUGCCUCUGCUCUGGGAGCGCUCAGCCCUCCCGGCUGCGGAGCGGCCCCAGGUGGGUGCGGGACAUUGCCGGGGGCUGCGGGGGUUCGGUGCUGGAGCCCCUCUUCCAGCUGCGGGGUUACGGGGGGAGGGCGGCAGCUCCGAGCGGUGGGGACGGAGCCCGCAGGUGUGGGUUCGCUCUGCUUUGGUGGGUUUGGCAUUUUCCUUUUUUUUUUUCUCCUUUUAAUCCAUCCCCUCCCUCUUCCCCCC